GAGGAAUAUUGAGCAAUGGGCGCAAGCCUGACUCAGCAACGCCGCGUGGAUGAAGAAGGCCUUCGGGUUGUAAAAUCCUUUUCUGGGGGAAGAUAAUGACGGUACCCCAGGAAUAAGUUCCGGCUAACUACGUGCCAGCAGCCGCGGUAAAACGUAGGGGACGAGCGUUAUCCGGAUUUACUGGGCGUAAAGCGCAUGUAGGUGGCUUGAAAAGUUGGACGUGAAAGCUCCCGGCUUAACUGGGAGAGGUCGUUCAAAACUGGCAAGCUUGAGGUUGGAAGAGGAGAGCGGAAUUCCCGGUGUAGUGGUGGAAUGCGUAGAUAUCGGGAGGAACACCAGUGGCGAAAGCGGCUCUCUGGUUCAAUACUGACACUGAGAUGCGAAAGCGUGGGGAGCGAACGGGAUUAGAUACCCCGGUAGUCCACGCUGUAAACGAUGGAUACUAGGUGUAGGCGGUCAUUAACCCCGUCUGUGCCGAAGCCAACGCGUUAAGUAUCCCGCCUGGGGACUACGGCCGCAAGGUUA
rnacentral:rRNA from 1 species